rnacentral:rRNA from 1 species
GAGUUUGAUCAUGGCUCAGAUUGAACGCUGGCGGCAUGCCUUACACAUGCAAGUCGAACGGCAGCAUGAUCUAGCUUGCUAGAUUGAUGGCGAGUGGCGAACGGGUGAGUAAUACAUCGGAACGUGCCCUGUAGUGGGGGAUAACUAGUCGAAAGAUUAGCUAAUACCGCAUACGACCUGAGGGUGAAAGUGGGGGACCGCAAGGCCUCAUGCUAUAGGAGCGGCCGAUGUCUGAUUAGCUAGUUGGUGAGGUAAAGGCUCACCAAGGCGACGAUCAGUAGCUGGUCUGAGAGGACGAUCAGCCACACUGGGACUGAGACACGGCCCAGACUCCUACGGGAGGCAGCAGUGGGGAAUUUUGGACAAUGGGGGCAACCCUGAUCCAGCAAUGCCGCGUGUGUGAAGAAGGCCUUCGGGUUGUAAAGCACUUUUGUCCGGAAAGAAAUCGCACUUACUAAUAUUAGGUGUGGAUGACGGUACCGGAAGAAUAAGGACCGGCUAACUACGUGCCAGCAGCCGCGGUAAUACGUAGGGUCCAAGCGUUAAUCGGAAUUACUGGGCGUAAAGCGUGCGCAGGCGGUUGUGCAAGACCGAUGUGAAAUCCCCGGGCUUAACCUGGGAAUUGCAUUGGUGACUGCACGGCUAGAGUGUGUCAGAGGGGGGUAGAAUUCCACGUGUAGCAGUGAAAUGCGUAGAGAUGUGGAGGAAUACCGAUGGCGAAGGCAGCCCCCUGGGAUAACACUGACGCUCAUGCACGAAAGCGUGGGGAGCAAACAGGAUUAGAUACCCUGGUAGUCCACGCCCUAAACGAUGUCAACUAGUUGUUGGGGAUUCAUUUCCUUAGUAACGUAGCUAACGCGUGAAGUUGACCGCCUGGGGAGUACGGUCGCAAGAUUAAAACUCAAAGGAAUUGACGGGGACCCGCACAAGCGGUGGAUGAUGUGGAUUAAUUCGAUGCAACGCGAAAAACCUUACCUACCCUUGACAUGCCACUAACGAAGCAGAGAUGCAUUAGGUGCUCGAAAGAGAAAGUGGACACAGGUGCUGCAUGGCUGUCGUCAGCUCGUGUCGUGAGAUGUUGGGUUAAGUCCCGCAACGAGCGCAACCCUUGUCUCUAGUUGCUACGAAAGGGCACUCUAGAGAGACUGCCGGUGACAAACCGGAGGAAGGUGGGGAUGACGUCAAGUCCUCAUGGCCCUUAUGGGUAGGGCUUCACACGUCAUACAAUGGUGCAUACAGAGGGUUGCCAAGCCGCGAGGUGGGGCUAAUCCCAGAAAAUGCAUCGUAGUCCGGAUCGUAGUCUGCAACUCGACUACGUGAAGCUGGAAUCGCUAGUAAUCGCGGAUCAGCAUGCCGCGGUGAAUACGU